rfam:Triticum aestivum genome assembly, contig: Triticum_aestivum_CS42_TGACv1_scaffold_558315_7AL
UUGCUACUCCCUCCGUCUCAAAAUUCUUGUCUUAGACUUGUCUAAAUACGAAUGUAUCUAAUACUAAAAUGUGACUUGAUACAUCUGUAUUUAGACAAAUCUAAGACAAAAGUUUUGGGAUGGAGGGAGUAUCUU